rnacentral:rRNA from 1 species
GACGAACGCUGGCGGCGUGCCUAACACAUGCAAGUCGAGCGGAGGAUGCGGCGUAGUAAUACAAAGUAUCUUUAGCGGCGGACGGGUGAGUAACACGUGGGUAACCUGCCUCAGAGUGGGGGAUAGCCUUUCGAAAGGAAGAUUAAUACCGCAUAAGAUUGUAGCGUCACAUGGCGCAGCAAGAAAAGGAGCAAUCCGCUUUGAGAUGGACCCGCGGCGCAUUAGCUAGUUGGUGAGGUAACGGCUCACCAAGGCCACGAUGCGUAGCCGACCUGAGAGGGUGAUCGGCCACAUUGGAACUGAGACACGGUCCAGACUCCUACGGGAGGCAGCAGUGGGGAAUAUUGCACAAUGGGCGAAAGCCUGAUGCAGCAACGCCGCGUGAGUGAUGAAGGCCUUAGGGUUGUAAAGCUCUUUCAGUGGGGAAGAUAAUGACUGUACCCACAGAAGAAGCCCCGGCUAACUCCGUG